UUGAAAAUAAAAAUUAAUUAAUUGAUUGUGAGAAUAAAAUAUAAACAAGCAAAAAAGAUUGAUUCAAUUGACAAGAAGAAAACAAUGGAUGAAUGGAGUUGUUGGGGGUUUACAAUUUCAUCUUAUCCACUCUCUCUUAUUUACUCCUCUUGAAUUAUUAGCUUGAUUAAUUAAUUGUCAUGCAACUUUCUUAGCCUACCCUUAACCCGAUCCCUCGGCGAAAAGAGCCUAAUAUUAAUUACUGGCUUACUAUCCCUAGCCUCCCCUAGCAAUUAAUACAACAUUAUAGAACAGAAGUUAAAAGCAAUUGAUCAUCCUACCCCUAUCCCUAGGUGGUAUUGCUUAAUCAAGAAAUUACUCACCAGCUCAUG
rnacentral:lncRNA from 1 species